UUCCUGCUUUGCUAAGACUCGGUUUCGUUAUGCUUAAAAUAUCUUUGAUUAAAUGUGUUUCAGGUUAAUUUGUUAGCCGAUCUCGGAGGAAGAAAAGUUGACGAAGCUGUUCGCCGCAUGAUGCAGCAGCUCCUUAGCAAUAAUUUGGCACUACAAUUUAAUUGUCAGUGAGGGAUGACAAAAAAAGUUUUAAAGGGUACUGAGGUGUUCCAAGUUGUUUAUAGAGCCUUAAAGCGCAAUGCUUUGACAUCGGCAUAUACGCAAAAAGAUUUUGAAGUGUCGCUCGCAAAAUGGCUCAUUGGUGCUCGUGAUCGAGAUGGUAAUAGAGCUAAACGUGUCGGAGCUA